rnacentral:tRNA from 1 species
UAGACUAAUGCUCGCUGGUUAGAGCGCCUAGCUGUUAACUAGGAAUUUGUAGGAUCGAGGCCUUCUUGUCUAG